GACGAACGCUGGCGGCGCGCCUAACACAUGCAAGUCGCACGGUGAGACGGGCUUCGGCCCGAGGAUCAGUGGCGAACGGGUGCGUAACACGUGGGCAACCUGCCCCUCACACUGGGAUAACCCCGGGAAACCGGAGCUAAUACCGGAUACUCCGACCGAACCACAUGGCUCGAUCGGGAAAGGUCCGCCGGUGAGGGAUGGGCCCGCGGCCUAUCAGCUUGUUGGUGAGGUAACGGCUCACCAAGGCGACGACGGGUAGCUGGUCUGAGAGGACGACCAGCCACACUGGGACUGAGAUACGGCCCAGACUCCUACGGGAGGCAGCAGUGGGGAAUCUUGCGCAAUGGGCGAAAGCCUGACGCAGCGACGCCGCGUGGGGGAUGAAGGCCCUCGGGUUGUAAACCCCUUUCGGCAGGGACGAAGCGAUCGUGACGGUACCUGCAGAAGAAGCCUCGGCUAACUACGUACCAGCCGCCGCGGUAA
rnacentral:rRNA from 1 species